ACGUUAUUUCGCCCUCCGGUGUUUCAUUCCGUUUGUCACCGUCCGAACGGACACCCGUUUUUCCCGUCGUUGUCCGAAAAGCAAUACGCCUGUCGAGUCGGCACCGGGACAUUUCGCCACAGAUACAAAAACAAUGCCAUCGAUUCUGCCACGAUUUCACUACGGUUUUCAGAGUUUUGCUACUGGUUGGUUUUACAGACCGGGUGUUCAAACACGCUGGCGCUAUGCCGACGUAGCAUCGGCACCACUUGCUCCGAACGACUCUAAACUCACAUCGAAACACUCGUACGGCUGUGUUACGUUUCGCCACGGCGUUUAAAGAUUUUGCUACGUCUCCGUUUUCCCCGCUUGUUUUUUCAAAAUCCAUCUUAAUCGGGUUAUUUCGAGUCAUUCAGCACCGGUGCUAGAUCAUAUUUGACGAUCACGUGGCCGGUAUUACUUUGCACACUAAUGUUUCCGGUCUGUGGUAAAAACAACCCGAAUGAAACAAUUGAAAAUUCCGUAGGAAAACUUUUAUGAGUAUUUCGAUACUAAUUUGAAGUGAUUCGGAGAAAAUGCUACGUCUACUGGGCACCGGCAUGUUUGUUUCCGGUCUGUUGGAAAAACCAGCCAGUUGGCAAAAUCCGGAAUUGUCGUAGCGUAACCGAGCAAACUCGCAGCCAAAUCAAUGACUUUAUUUUUGAAGUUUGAGUAAAAAAAUGCCAACUCGACGGACAUAAAAGUACAUCGCGUAUACGGACGGAAAACGAUGGUAACGGUUUCGGCCCUUUCGGCGGUCGUUUAUUAUUUUCGUCAUCGUCCCCUUGUCGUUAUAGUACAUUAAAAACGAAAAAAAAAAAAAAAAUUAUUAAACAACGCAGUAAUGAGAACGUUUCUAAUGAGUAUCAAACCCGAGUCGUCCAUGUGUGAUAUCCGCAAUAUCUUCGGGUGCGACGACGUGUUUCGUGCCAGGUUUAAUAUGGGUAUCCGA